CCCUGGUGAAAGGCGCUGGAGGAGAGGACGCAUCGCUGAGACCUGAGAGUAACAGCAAAAAAAGGACGACAUAUUCCAAGAUGGCUGACAAUGAAUCUGAAAGCUCCCAGGAGAAGGCCAGUGUGGUUGAAAUGUAGGAUUUCUGAAUGUGCACAUAGAUGUUCCACUGCAGGUGACUCAUCAGCAGUUUCCUUCCAGGUGGAGGCUUCAGGUCAUCUGAACAGAGAUGGUAAAACACUGAUUUGCUGAAGUUGGCUGUGACGUGUUGGACCCCCC